rnacentral:rRNA from 1 species
UACGGAGGGAGCUAGCGUUGUUCGGAAUUACUGGGCGUAAAGGGCGCGUAGGCGGUGUGUCAAGUCAGGCGUGAAAGCCCCGGGCUCAACCUGGGAACCGCGCUUGAGACUGGCACGCUCGAGUUCGGGAGAGGAUGGUGGAAUUCCCAGUGUAGAGGUGAAAUUCGUAGAUAUUGGGAAGAACACCGAUGGCGAAGGCGGCGAUCUGGGAAGAUACUGACGCUGAGGUGCGAAAGCGUGGGGGAGCAAACAGG